rnacentral:tRNA from 5 species
GGCGAGGUAGCUCAGUUGGUAGAGCAGCGGACUGAAAAUCCGCGUGUCGCCGGUUCGAUCCCGGCCCUUGCCACCA